rnacentral:lncRNA from 1 species
AUGAUAUACACACAGGGGAUGGUGAAUUUCUUGAGAAAAAGUAAAAGUACUUGCAACUUUUGGUUCAACUAUAAGCUGUUCGAUUUGAGGAAUGAGAAGCCAGAAAAUCAAAGCUUAAGAUUCUUGCAGCAUGAAACCAGCAUCUACUAUUUCAGUGGAGCAAAAUCUUUUUCCAACACAAUCAAUUUAUAAACAAGUUUCAAGUGAGAUUGUGACUUCUAAGGAUUCCUUGUGGUUCAGGUUACUCCUACAGGUUUGCUCGUAUUUUCCAUGAGGACAAUUCUUACAUGAGUUAAGUGUUAGCUAGCAGCAACUGUGAGUGUAUUUUUAAAAUAUAUAUAUGCAUUAUAAAAAAAUUAAAAACAUAUAUAUAUAUAUAGCAAGCAGCACCUAUUGAAACAUAUCUGAACUUGUUACUAACCCAGUAUGGAGAAAACAAAGGUGGACUGUCGUAGCAGCCAGCGCAACAGUCUACCAAUACCAUGUACAAGCAGAAGAAGAUGGUUUGAAGCAGAAUUGAAUGUUGGAAACUUCAGGUCUUGUUUAAGCUUUUUUUAUUCUUAUUUUCAGAUGUGAUUGGUUUAAUAUGGAAAGUUACCUAUUCCUGUUGUUGAAGAGUGUGAAGUUGCUUUUUGAGAGGAAGCUUCUACCAGCAGUUAUGACACAGUAUGUGAGUGAAGGGUUGUUUGUAUUGAAGUUCUCCUAUAUGCCACUGUUGCU